rnacentral:ncRNA from 1 species
AAUAUGCAAUGGCAAAAUCACUGAAAAGUGGUGACGCAAAGCUAUAGGGGCCUCCGUGAACCACAAGGCCAGCCAGCUGCCAUC